rnacentral:tRNA from 3 species
GGGUGUGUAGCUCAACUGGAUAGAGCAAUGAACGGGUUAAUCACCCAUAGUCCUUGGUUCACAACCUUGCCUGAAAAGGCCGACGAGUCGAGGGUUAUCGUUAAUUCAUCGGUUGUAGGUUCAAAUCCUACCUCACCCGCCA